GUCCAUAUCAGAGCUAUCGAUGCCUUAGUAUAGUAGUGCGAUUGCUUUUGUCUGUCUGAUUGCUGUGCAUGGACCACUGGUUGACGUUGGACUCAGAAUCUAUGUAAAAAAUUCCCUGCCAUACUACCAAUUCAGCAAUGCAGUCUUUAGAAGGAGAGAAUCAACACCUGUGGAUGUCACAAGUCAUUGAUUUGAUGGGGUCCAGCUAGAGCUAGCUACAGCUAUGUCUGUGGCCUCUCUCCUGCGAAGUGCCAUGAGAGUGGGGAACAGACAUGUCGCAGCACAUUUGGUCCAUCAGAGAGCUCUUUCAGGGGCAGAUGCUAUCAAUGCACUGAGACCGUUCUACUUUGCAGUGCACCCAGACUUCUUUGGCCAGCAUCCCAGGGAAAGGGAAGUGAAUGAAAAUUCCCUCAAGAGACUCAAUGGUUAUUUGGAAAACCUUCAGAAACCGGGGACCCGCUCAGUCCAACCAACAAAGCUCACCUUUUAUGUCCGGGAAAUAAAGGAGAAGGAGGACAUUCAGAAGGACGUCCUUCCUCCUGGGUUCCGUUCGGUCAGCUUCACUCUGCAGACCAAGGAUGUCCUGACCACCGUAAUGGACGUGCUGAAGUCCUGCAGUCUGUCCACAGAGCACGUGAAGGAACUGAAGGCCAGCUCAGAGUCACCCAAGAGCCAGCAGCCAGUGUCUGGGCAUGGGAACCCUUUCUACAGGCCCAUCAAAUGGGACAAAAGCUACUACAGCUUCACUGGCUUCAGAGACCCAGAGCAGGAGCUGAAGCAGGCCAAGAAAGUAGAGCCCACACUAAGUUGGCUCAUUCCACUCAUGCCUUGAGAGAAGUGACAUGCUCUACAAGCGAGCCAUUGGUCUGUCUGAAGAGUUUGUCUCUCUGCUGCAGCUUGUGGCUGAGAAACCAUGAGAAGGAGGCUACGAAGAAGCAGAACGCCAGUGUCCCUCGACGGGAGGAGCUGAAGAGACUCAAGAAGGAAUUGUGUCAGAAAUUUGCCUUGGAAGAUAUUAGGUGGCAGCGCAGCUGGGGAGUGACUCACAGAUGCUGUCAGCUCCAGAGUCUGAGCCGUCUCUCCCAGCAGAACCCUGAGGCUGUGCUCAACCUGCGAGGACACACUAUAAUAUUCACUGACCAAUCAGGGAUGAAUGCCUCGGGUCAUGUGAUGCUGGGAACAAUGGAUGUUCAUCACCAAUGGACAAAAGUAUGGCACAUGUUACAUUUCAGAUGGAAAAGUUACCAGUCUUUUUUAUUCUCCUGUUGCUCAUGUCCCGUGUUUGUUUGUGUGUGCGUGUGUACAUGUGUCCUAGCUGUUUGUGAGUCUCCCCAGCUACCGUAGCCUGCUCCAGCAGACAGAGUGGCUGAAGGAGAGGAUCAGCCAUGUGUUGGGAGGUAUUCAGGUAAUUAACGUAGAGAGACUGGGACCUGUACAGCCUAUAGAGGAACACUGCAGCAUCCUCAACACCUUCCAUAAGAGACUACUGGCCCGACGCCUAGCCCUGCAUCCCAGGAGCCUGCAAGGUCUGGCCAUGACCCUGGAGAAUGACCGCUCCAGCCCCAGCCUGCAUGAGAUGGGUCACUUCAUCAUCCCAGCCACCUGUGAGCCCAGCAGACUACAGACUUUCCUCCAGAGCAUGGCCUGUGAGGCCCGACAACGAAUCAAACACAGGAACCAGCUGCAGAAGGAGGAGGAGGAGGUACUGCUCCACUGCCUGGAGGCUCUGGCCCUGAGGAAUCUGUCCAAGGAGCCCAGUGUCAGACACAACCAGAUGAUCCCCUGCUGCAGGCGGUUGCUGGAGGAACGCUCCCCCCUCAUGGAGGGCCUCCGGGUGGAGGUCUCCCACUUCUACUCUGUCAUGCAGGACGGGGACUUGUGCAUCCCCUGGGACUGGCAGGGCUGAGGGGACAGGGACAGGGGACAUGCUGCAGCACGCCUGGUUGAACCAGACUCAAUGCUAUCCUCACCAUGUCUACCACCAAGCAACACUGCAGCUGCCACAGAGAAACAAACCGACCAACUCUCACAAGGUCAAUCACGUUAUCCUUCUACUGGAGAGGACAGAUAAACAGACAUACUCUUUUCACACUAUUGUGCUGAACCAGGGCCCGGUUUCCCAAGAGCAUCUUAAGGCUGAGUUCAUAGUUAGAACCUUCGUAGGAGCAUUGUUAAAUCUCUGAACUGUUUUCCAAAGCCAUCCUUACUAAAGUUGCACUUAAACGCUUGUUAUUUACCGCCUGCCUCAGAUCACUCCGAGAACUGCUAGUGUUAUUUUUCCCUUCCACUAAACAUAGACUCAAGAUGCUUCUCUGUCUCUCUGUGACCACCGAUAACUUCACAACGAUGUUGACUGCAAAUAUAGAGUUGCCGAUGCCUUUGCAAUCGUUAGAAACAACCAAAGGAUAAAAAACCCCGAUAUGACUGCAUUCAGAUAUAAAUAGCCUACCUACCUACAGUACAGUCUACAUAGGCCUAUAUUUCCAUUAGUUUUAUUCAUCUAUUUGGCUACCAUCUGUCAUUUCUGCCUUUAUAUAGUUCAUGAUGUGUCAAAUCUUGAUUUAGUACAUUUAUUAUAGGAUAAGCAUUAGAAUAAGCCGCCUCAGUAUUUGCAGCCAGUCAGUAUUGUGGAAUAAUUAUAAUUUUAAGGUAAGAUAUUAAUGAAGAAAGCUGAUCUGAAUUCUUUCAAUCUUUGGCCAUUGUAGGAAAGGUGCAUCGUUAAAACACUCGUAAGCCUAAAUCCCAUCGCUAUCGAGAAGCCAGGCCCAGUACUGUGCUGGCUUGCAUACGUUCUUUUCAUAAUGUCCUUUCCAGCACGUUCCGGUAACUAUGGUGGAUAGGAUGGGUAACCAGACCAGCUCAGCUUGGUUUAGUAGUGGGAAAAUGUUUGGUCAGAGCAGGCUGGUGCAAUAGAGUUAGUUUGUAUUAACCAACAAGAAGGCCUAGUAUCUUGAAGUCAGUCAGUGUUCAGGAAGGUGUGCGUGUGAAUAUACCAACACAGAGGAAUAGUAUCAAUAUUUUCAUUAGGUGUGUAUGAGGGAAAACAAGAUGUUUGUUAAUGUAGUACAGUGGCACUUUAUAUUGAUUGUGUUGUUUUAAUGAACAUUUGAGUAGUAUUUCCCAGACGAUCUACGAAGAUGACUAUUACACUAUUCAAAUCUAUUACACUUGCCUUUAAACUGUACAGAAACACACUUUGCUAUCACAAAAGAAGAGCUAAGAAAAGAAAUGGCUCGGUAUUACGAGCUGUCUCAUACGAUGACCGGAACGGGAGACGUCAUAUACUGUUGCAGUGUUUAAACUCUACACUAGAUGGUGUGCUCUAAACUCAGUAUGGGGUUCAUUGGUUUUUGUAAUGAAAUAUACAUUUCCGAGGGAGAUUUGAUGUUCUGGUGUUUCUCAGAGUAGGAGUGCGGAUUUAGGAUCAGUUUGGCCUUUUAGAUCACAAUAAAAAAAACAUUACAUGGACAGGGGAGACCUGAUUCUAGAUCAGAUGUUUGAUACAUAGAGCCUAUGGUUAGUGGUCUACUGUAGGUUGAUCUGGACUGAAAUGGGCACCAGCUAUUAGAAGAAGAGCUAAAGUACUGGAAGUGGAUCCCACCACAUUCAUGCAGCUCUCGAUGGGACAGUCAAAUGGAAUGAAGACUUCAUACUGUAAAAUCAAGUAAUACUAACUGCAUCAGUUACCUGACUAGCUAGAAUACUGUCGACAGCUGGGAACAAUAAUGAAUCAUAUGUUUGUUUUUACCUCUUAACUUUAACACAACCAAUACCACAGAAUAAAGACCUGCUAAAAGAUG